rnacentral:rRNA from 1 species
AGUCGUAACAAGGUUUCCGUAGGUGAACCUGCGGAAGGAUCAUUAUCGAGAGUGGAGCCUAGCUCCUUGGGGGCCAACCGCCCCCAACUCUUCACCCAUUGUGAACGUUCGUUGUUGCUUUGGCGAGCCUCGGGGGACGCCUGAGGCCUUCGCCAGAGACCUUUUAUACUGUGUUUGAGUAGUCUGAGUGUAAUUGAUAAUUAAACAAAACUUUCAACAACGGAUCUCUUGGCUCUGGCAUCGAUGAAGAACGCAGCGAAAUGCGAUAAGUAAUGCGAAUUGCAGAAUUCAGUGAAUCAUCGAAUCUUUGAACGCACAUUGCGCCCCUUGGUAUUCCGAGGGGCAUAUCUGUUCGAGCGUCAUUUGCUCCCUCAAGCCUGGCUUGGUCUUGGGCGUGCGUCUUGCGGGACGGCCCUGAAAACCAGUGGCAGCGCGAUGCAGCUGCGAGCGUAGUAGUGAAUAACCCCCCGCUCCGCACGCUGCAUCAUGCCCGCCAGUCAACCUGCGAUUUUUUAACCAGUUGACCUCGGAUCAGAUAGGGAUACCCGCUGAACUUAAGCAUAUCAAUAAGCGGAGGAAAAGAAACCAACCGGGAUUGCCUCAGUAACGGCGAGUGAAGCGGCAACAGCUCAAAUUUGAAAUCUGACUCCUUGUGGGGUUCGAGUUGUAAUUUGCAGAGGGUGUUUCGGGCGCGGUGCCGGUCUAAGUCCCUUGGAACAGGGCGUCAUAGAGGGUGAGAAUCCCGUCUGCGACUCGGCCGCCAACCCUAUGUGAAACCCCUUCGACGAGUCGAGUUGUUUGGGAAUGCAGCUCAAAAUGGGUGGUAAAUUUCAUCUAAAGCUAAAUACCGGCCAGAGACCGAUAGCGCACAAGUAGAGUGAUCGAAAGAUGAAAAGCACUUUGGAAAGAGAGUUAAACAGUACGUGAAAUUGUUGAAAGGGAAGCGCUUGCGACCAGACCUGUUCCCGGGCGAUCAUCCGUCAUUCGUGGCGGUGCACUCGCCCGGACACAGGCCAGCAUCGGUUGGGGCGGCGGGACAAAGCGCCUGGGAAUGUAGCUUCUCUCGGGGAGCCUUAUAGCCCGGGUGGCCAUGCCGCCCGCCUCGACCGAGGACCGCGCUUUGGCUAGGAUGCUGGCGUAAUGGUCGUAAGCGACC